AGAGUUUGAUCCUGGCUCAGGACGAACGCUGGCGGCGUGCCUAAAACAUGCAAGUCGAACGGGGGAGCAAUCCCCAGUGGCGAACGGCGGAGUAAUACAUGAACAACGUGCCCUGAAGACCGGGAUAGUCAGUGGAAACGCUGGGUAAUACCGGAUGUGGCCGUCUUGUGGCAUCACGAGACGAUUAAAUGGUUUUUCGCUUCAGGAGCGGUUCAUGGCCUAUCAGGUAGUUGGUGAGGUAACGGCUCACCAAGCCUACGACGGGUAGCGGGUCUGAGAGGACGAUCCGCUCGAGUGGGACUGAGACACGGCCCACACACCUACGGGUGGCAGCAGUUGGGAAUCUUGCACAAUGGGGGAAACCCUGAUGCAGCGACGCCGCGUGGAGGACGAAGGAUCUAGGUCUGUAAACUCCUUUUUCACGGAAAGACUUAGGACGGUACCGUGAGAAUAAGCCCCGGCUAACUACGUGCCAGCAGCCGCGGUAAGACGUAGGGGGCGAGCGUUGUCCGGAUUUACUGGGCGUAAAGAGCGCGUAGGCGGCUCGUUAAGUGUGAAGUGAAAUCUCCAGGGCUCAACCCGGAAACUGCUUCGCAUACUGGCGAGCUUGAGGAAUGCAGAGGUAAGUAGAAUUCCUGGUGUAGCGGUGAAAUGCGUAGAUAUCAGGAGGAAUACCGACGGCGAAGGCAGCUUACUGGGCAUUAUCUGACGCUGAGGCGCGAAAGCGUGGGUAGCAAACAGGAUUAGAUACCCUGGUAGUCCACGCCCUAAACGAUGGAUACUAGACGUAAGAGGUAUCG
rnacentral:rRNA from 1 species